rfam:Setaria italica strain Yugu1 chromosome IV, whole genome shotgun sequence.
UGGGGCGUGGCCAAGUGGUAAGGCAGCGGGUUUUGGUCCCGUUACCCGGAGGUUCGAAUCCUUCCGUCCCAG